CCACAACUACAAGAAAGUUCAAAAGAUAUUUGUUCAGUCUAAGUUAUUAUCUAAAAAGAACACAACACCAACAAACUAAAGAUCAAUCAACAUAACAAUCCUUUAUCUAAGUAACAAAACUAAUCUAAGUAACAAAACGAGCUCUAUGACAAGACAAGACUACAAAUUAGUCAUCGAAUUAUAGACAAGACAAGACAACAACUAAGUAUAAUCAUCACCUACCAAUUCACAUAACAAUAAUCAUCAUCAUCAUCAACAAAUUAACAAAUUCAUGAUUCACAUGUGCCUUAUUAAAAUGAUGAACCAAGCUAAAUACACAAUUACUCCAAAAUCAACUAUCAAAACCCUAAAUAAAAAAAACCUAGACUACCUUUGAGAUUCAAUACAACAAUCAAAUCAAAUUGAUUACUAAUUCCUUAUUCACAUGAUUACUCUGCUUCCAAAUUAGUCACCGAAUGAUGAACCAAACUAAAUAAAGAACAAAGAUUUAUCUUUUCACAGUUACACAGAAACAAGGGUUCUGUCUCAAUACAGAUUUUUACUAAAUUCAGAAAAAAAAACAAGAACCAUUAGCUUCAUUUUCUUACUACAAUUACUAAAAUAAGAACCCUAAGCCACAAGAUUCAGUAAAUUGACG